UUCAAGUCCCUCUAUCCCCAA
rnacentral:tRNA from 2 species